AAAAUACUACAUAUCUUUUCACACAUUUUUUGCUGUGUUAAGGUAAAAAUAAGUGACAAGCUUAUUUUAAAUAGACUUCACCUUAUAAGUGCACCCUGAAUUUAGCUAACUUAGCCGGCUUACAGUCGAUUUUAUGCCGCCGCCGAAAUUUUUAAUGUCAACCGCCUCCGCCGUUAAUAGUUGUCGGCGCAGUGCUCUGUGAACAUCGUCGCGUAUUACGCGUUUUAAGUAGAUGAAGAAAAAAUACGGAAAAAUAUAAUUCAACGACAAAAUUUAAUUAAUUUUGUAAAUUUUAGUCUGUAGUUUUAAUUAAAUUUAAAAUAAGCAAUAAAUAUAAACGAAAAAAUCUUUUGAGUGUAAAAUCGUCGCGUAUUGAAAAAGAUUUACGUGCAAUUCGAUUAUUUACACACAAAUUAUUAUGAAAAAAACCAACCCAACAAAGAAAAGUUUCUCCACAAAUGUAUAAAAAAGUUUUGUUGUAAUUCUACACAAAUAAAAAAGUUAAAAGAAAAAACUCGACACUAUAAAAAUGGCGAGCAGUUUUUAAAAGAAUGUGAUUGAAAAAUAAACGAAAUAAUAAAAAGAAAAAAACUAAAUUAGGUGCAUAAAAAUUGAACGAAAAUAAUUAAAAUUUUUGAACUAAUUUCUAUGAAAAAUUAAAGCAACCAGGAAAAAAAACGACAAAGAAAUUCUUCACGAAGGGACAAAAAAAAAGAAGAAAAAAUCACGCCAAAAAAGUGUGUUAUACACGGUGUCAUUUUACAUUGAGUUUUAUCGCGUGUUUGUCAGUUUGUGUACGACAUUAUCAUUUCUGUCUGUAUGCGAAUAAAAGACAAAAGGGAAAUGUGAAGAAACAUAGAAGAAUAAAACGAAACAACAAACAAGGAGAACAAACAACUACAUUUUUUAUUCAUUUCUUUUGAUUUGGUUUCAAACACUAAUGAAUUGAAAAAUUAGUCUUACACAAUAACAAAAAUAAAAUUUAAAUCUUUAUAAUAAAAUAAUAAUAAAAAUUUGAUGUAAAUAGUUAAA